rnacentral:lncRNA from 1 species
AUCGAGUGGCAAAACAUUAAAGCACCUGGCCUCAGAAACCUUCCUAGCAACAAAGCAGACUUGCUUUGCUACAGCAGAUCUGGUAGAGUAUCUUCUCCUAGAUGUAGACUUCUCCUAUGUACUCCUCGGCAUGUUCCAGUCUGAUCCCAUCGAAAGAAGGUUUGGCUGGUACAGAGAACUAAGUGAAGGUAUCUACUACAUCAGCGUGAGACAGAUCCUGGAAGCAGAGAAAAUAUUCGUAUUCUGAGUCUUGUCAGAUUCUCAGGUCCGACUACUUCAGAAAUUAAAGGUCUGCUGGAUGAAGACAUGG